rnacentral:snRNA from 1 species
CCACCCGCCUAGGUUGGA